UCCGGGUUAGCUCAGUUGGUAGAGCGUUAGGCUUUUAACUUAAAUGUCGCGAGUUCGACCCUUGCACCCGGAG